rnacentral:rRNA from 1 species
CCAGACUCCUACGGGAGGCAGCAGUGGGGGAUAUUGCACAAUGGGGGAAACCCUGAUGCAGCGACGCCGCGUGGGUGAAGGAGCGUUUCGGCGCGUAAAGCCCUAUCGGCAGGGAAGAAGGAGGACGGUACCUGACUAAGAAGCCCCGGCUAAAUACGUGCCAGCAGCCGCGGUAAUACGUAUGGGGCAAGCGUUAUCCGGAUUUACUGGGUGUAAAGGGAGCGUAGGCGGCCUGGCAAGCCUGAUGUGAAAUACCGGGGCCCAACCCCGGGACUGCUCUUGGAACUGCGUGGCUGGAGUGCAGGAGGGGCAGGCGGAAUUCCUGGUGUAGCGGUGAAAUGCGUAGAUAUCAGGAGGAACACCGGUGGCGAAGGCGGCCUGCUGGACUGCAACUGACGUUGAGGCUCGAAAGCGUGGGGAGCAAACAGGAUUAGAUACCCGCGUA